UUGUCCCCGCCGGUACCGGGAUGGCCGCGGGAAGGGGAGCGGGAACGGAGCCGGGACAGCCUCGGGCAGGCAGAGCCCGUUCUGAGCCUGAGCGCUGCGGGAGGUGAAAAGGAAAGACGAAAAGAAAAAAAAAAAAAGGAGAUUUUGGAGCUUUUUGCUUCCAUCUUUGGGCAAAUCCACAACUUUUUGUUGUAGGAGCACUGAAUGUUGAGUGACUAUGGAAAUAUUUUGGGAAAUUCAUCCCUGAGAGCUCAGGUGGCCUCAGCUGGAGGCAGAGCUCAUGAAAAACCUGAUCAGCUGCUGCACCCAGAGCUGGACCCAGCUCCCAGAGAGCCCAUCCUGCUUCCCAGAGAGGGAAUUCCAUUGGCACAGGGACAGGGAUCCCAGUCUGGCCACGUUUAAAUUGAUAUUUCUGACACAAAACUACAGAGAUGCCAAAGUCUGGCUUGGGACUGGAAAUGUUGCAGAGCUCAAAACUCCUGAUGACAUCGGGGUUAUCAACCCUUGAGAUUCUCAAGUAGAACAUCCUUCAAGCAAAUUAAAGGUUUUCUGUGGAGCAGAUUUUCUGUGGGAUUGAUUUGGGGAUGCACCUGCUGGAGAAACCCAGAGAGGUCUCACCAUGAAGUUGAUUUUUGUGGGGAGAUUCCAAAGGAAAGGAGAGUCUGCUCCUGGCCAUCGAAGGUAAAACAAUCUCUGGCUUCAUCAG